rnacentral:lncRNA from 1 species
UUCAAUAUUUUUUAACACCAUCGAUAUUUUGUAUAAAAUUGUGUUGCUAUAUUUGAUAAAAAAAUAGAUUAAACACAGAUAAGAUACUCAUACAAGGUAUUCAGAGAUACUAUCAAGAUAUAUAAGUUUAACUCACGCAAAAAUCAAAACUGAUAAAGAAAUAUAAGGCUUUGGCUGCUCCCUCAAAGCACUACUAAACUACUAAAGAAAUAUUAGAAGUACAAAAACUGAAAAAAAAAGAUGAAAAGUCUAGACGACCUUAUCUCUUUCAGUAUUCUAUUCUUUCUCGUGUGGCCAUCAUCUAUCCAUCUCUGUUGGUCAUUCUCUGCUUGUAUGUGCUCUGCUCUCCCUUCCGUCUCCUCCCCUCUUCUCUCUACUAUUUCCUUCAUAGCUCGGUGAUGAUAUGCGGCGAGGCAAAGCUUGGCCAGGCACAGUGAGUAGCAGCAGGGGCCGACGGUUAGCUUGUUCUAUGCGGCAAGGAGGAGCUUUUGCCCCGCAUCCCGUGGAUGAUGACGGCGAACUCGGGCUAGCGUCAAGGGGCAAUGGGUAGGUCGAUCUCUGUACCAGAGCUCGGAGUUUCUUCUUCCAUGCCGGUGCCGCACGGGAUCUCCCAAUCUGUUGCUACAUCGAUGGGAUAGGUACAACGACUAUCUGAGCGUCUAUUUGGCAUGGGAGCACGAGCCCACCCCAUCGUCUCAUGAGACGACGGCCUCGGCCUGUCUCUUGCCUGCGAGGGUGCUUUGUGCAAAUCUUACCUCACAGAGACGGCUCCUGGAGACGCGUUGUACGUGCCCUAAUGCGCUCGCUUGCUAGGAUGCUGCUAUGAGCCACAAGGUCUUGUUUAGCUGCCAAUUUUUUUUUAAAGAUUUUCGAUCAUAUUGAAUUUUGCG